rnacentral:rRNA from 1 species
AUUGAACGCUGGCGGCAUGCUUUACACAUGCAAGUCGAGCGGCAGCGCGGGGGCAACCCUGGCGGCGAGCGGCGAACGGGUGAGUAAUGCAUCGGAACGUAUCCUCGAGUGGGGGAUAACCCAGCGAAAGUUGGGCUAAUACCGCAUGAGCUCUGAGGAGGAAAGCGGGGGACCUGCGAGGGCCUCGCGCUGGAGGAGCGGCCGAUGUCCGAUUAGCUAGUUGGUGGGGUAAAGGCUUACCAAGGCGACGAUCGGUAGCUGGUCUGAGAGGAUGAUCAGCCACACUGGGACUGAGACACGGCCCAGACUCCUACGGGAGGCAGCAGUGGGGAAUUUUGGACAAUGGGGGCAACCCUGAUCCAGCCAUGCCGCGUGAGUGAAGAAGGCCUUCGGGUUGUAAAGCUCUUUCGGACGGAACGAAAUGGGCGGGACUAAUACUCCUGUCUGAUGACGGUAACGUAAGAAGAAGCACCGGCUAACUACGUG